AGCACUUUUUAACAGGGUGCUGACAGAUGUAAGUCCGACGUGCCGUUUUGGCACGGCCUCAAAACUUAGGCUUUGGGAUUAC
rnacentral:ncRNA from 1 species